rnacentral:lncRNA from 1 species
AGUAGGCAUUGUUGAUAGUUGCUGCCCCCCAGCACUAAAUAGUGGUUUGGAAAGAACCACAGGAAGCAGGGAUCUUAGGAAGAGGGAGGAGGGGGAGGUGUGUAUGACCUCCUUUUCUGAUAACUUCAGAUCAUAAUAUUAAGUGUUACACUGUGGGACUACAACAUAUUACGUCAAUUCACUUUAUUAUUGUAUCAUGUCGAAGUCCUUUAAGAAACAAGCAGUAGAAAGAAUAAAAUCUGUAAUUUCCAUUUUUACCUUUUUAUAAACACAGAAUAGACUGACAGACUAUUAGUUCAGCUUGGAUGCUGUGAUUGCAAGAAUAUCUGAGUAGAAUAGCAAUAUGAUACAGAUGUUCUAGUUCAGAUAACAGGUAGCUGAAAAGAGGGUUUUUCACCAUCCUCUUAUGGUCUAGGAAGUUGACAAGUCAGUUACAGUUUUAAAAUAAUAAUGAUAAAGUCUACUUUUCUGUUAUAUUAUCAAAAGCUUAAAAUUAUUGACUUUAGACUUAAAAUACUUUGAGGGAGACAUUAUGUUAAAGUUUUAGCCAAGAUAACAGAUUUCCAUUAUAUAUAUCUCAACUAUAUGUGUAUGUAUUUUAAAGCAAGGAAUUCUCCUAGAUCUCUAAAAAUCAAUCUAUUAUUUCUUUUUUAUUUUCCCCUGUGUUUCUCAGAUACCUUAACAAAAAUUCUUUUCACUUUCUUCCUUUUGCAGUUUUUCUUUUAUUCCUUGUUAUCAUUUGAACAGUGAGUUCUCAAACACAAUCUCAUGCUGUUUCUUUUUUCUUCUUUGCCUCUCUCCAUCACUUUAUGCACCAUAAGCAAAGAGACUAAUUUCCCCAGUUGAUUCAAGAAACUUCCGUUACUUUGUCUCAGCUUAUAAACUGUGUCUAUUGUGCUUAUUGAGGUUGCAGUUAUCAGAAGCCAAGUAGUCUUUUUUUUAUUGAAAGAUAACUUGUAUUUUGAAAGAAAAUAUAAUUUAUGCUAUUCAUUCUUUGCUCUGAUUUUAUGAAUAAAUUUUCCAUA